UAAUGUUAUUUUUAUUUUAGUGGUGUACGGGUGAGUAAUAUAUUAAAAUUUACCUAAUAAUUUGGAAUAAUUUUAUUGAGAAAUAAAAGUAAUACCAAAUAAUUUUAAAGAUAAAUUUCGUUAUUAGAUAAGUUAAUAUAGGUUUAGAUAGUUGGUAGAGUAUAAGCCUACCAAGUCGAUAAUCCUUAGCUGAUAUAAGCGUAUGAUCAGCCACAUUAGGACUGAGAAUGGCCUAAACUUUUACGGAGGGCAGCAGUGGGGAAUAUUGGGCAAUAAGUGAAAACUUGACCCAGCAAUAUUGUAUAUAAUGUAAAGACCCUACGAAGGUUGAAAGUUAUUACAGCAUGAUUAAAAAUAAAUGAUAUAAAGUGCUAAUGAAGCUCUUGCAAAUUUUGUGCCAGCAGCCGCGGUAAUACAAAAGGGGCGAGCGUUAUUCAUCGAAAUUGGGCGUAAAACGUGUGUAGAUUAGUUAAAUUUAAAAAAAUUUUAAAAUUUAAGUAUUAUUUUAGUGUUAAAGUUGUUGAAAUGGCUCUUAAAAUUUGUAUUUUAAUACACUGAAUAUAUUAUAUAACUAUGAAUAAAAUAGGAGUAGGCGGAAUGUUUAGAGUAAGGGUAGCAUUUGAUAAUUCUAAAUUGAAUACCAGCGGCAAAGGCGGCUUUCUAUAUUUUAUUGACAUUGAGGCACGAAGGCAUGGGUAUCAAACAGAGUUAGAUAUUCUGGUAGUCCAUGCAGACAACUAUGAGUAUUAAAAUUUAUUAGAAAUCUAAUUUUUACAGCUAACGCGUUAAAUACUCUGCCUGGGAAGUAUGAUCGC
rnacentral:rRNA from 1 species